CUGAUUGUUCUAGCGCAUGGCCUUGCUUUGGAAUAAAGCAAGGUGACGAGGAAGAGGUUGUCGAUUUAUCAGCGGAUGCCUCUCGGCUUGCCGGUCGUUAGAAUGCUGUUAAAACUGUUGGGUGACUGACAGGACAGAGCGGCAUUUGGGCAGGACA
rnacentral:ncRNA from 1 species